ensembl:snRNA U5 U5 spliceosomal RNA
UCACUCUGGUUUCUCUUCAUCGUAUGAUUCUUUCGCCUUUUACUAAAGAAUUCCGUGGAGGGGAGCAUUUCAAUGAGUCUUAAGAUAUUUUUCUGCACCUGACUUCGGUUAGGUU